UGAGACGCUAUAACUCAACGGAAU
rnacentral:siRNA from 1 species